rnacentral:rRNA from 1 species
AUAUUGCACAAUGGGCGCAAGCCUGAUGCAGCCAUGCCGCGUGUGUGAAGAAGGCCUUCGGGUUGUAAAGCACUUUCAGUCGUGAGGAAGGUAGUGUAGUUAAUAGCUGCAUUAUUUGACGUUAGCGACAGAAGAAGCACCGGCUAACUCCGUGCCAGCAGCCGCGGUAAUACGGAGGGUGCGAGCGUUAAUCGGAAUUACUGGGCGUAAAGCGCAUGCAGGUGGUUUGUUAAGUCAGAUGUGAAAGCCCGGGGCUCAACCUCGGAAUUGCAUUUGAAACUGGCAGACUAGAGUACUGUAGAGGGGGGUAGAAUUUCAGGUGUAGCGGUGAAAUGCGUAGAGAUCUGAAGGAAUACCGGUGGCGAAGGCGGCCCCCUGGACAGAUACUGACACUCAGAUGCGAAAGCGUGGGGAGCAAACAGG